CUCUGUUUCUAAAGGACUCAGGGCAAAAGGGAG
ncrna:unclassified sequences L31-Firmicutes ribosomal protein leader